rnacentral:rRNA from 1 species
UACGAAGGGGGCUAGCGUUGCUCGGAAUCACUGGGCGUAAAGGGUGCGUAGGCGGGUCUUUUAAGUCAGGGGUGAAAUCCUGGAGCUCAACUCCAGAACUGCCUUUGAUACUGAAGAUCUUGAGUUCGGGAGAGGUGAGUGGAACUGCGAGUGUAGAGGUGAAAUUCGUAGAUAUUCGCAAGAACACCAGUGGCGAAGGCGGCUCACUGGCCCGAUACUGACGCUGAGGCACGAAAAGCGUGGGGGAGC